UUCCGUAGGUGAACCUGCGGAAGGAUCAUUACCUAGAGUUGUAGGCUUUGCCUGCUAUCUCUUACCCAUGUCUUUUGAGUACCUUCGUUUCCUCGGCGGGUCCGCCCGCCGAUUGGACAAAACUUAAACCCUUUGCAGUUGCAAUCAGCGUCUGAAAAAACUUAAUAGUUACAACUUUCAACAACGGAUCUCUUGGUUCUGGCAUCGAUGAAGAACGCAGCGAAAUGCGAUAAGUAGUGUGAAUUGCAGAAUUCAGUGAAUCAUCGAAUCUUUGAACGCACAUUGCGCCCCUUGGUAUUCCAUGGGGCAUGCCUGUUCGAGCGUCAUUUGUACCUUCAAGCUCUGCUUGGUGUUGGGUGUUUGUCUCGCCUCUGCGUGUAGACUCGCCUCAAAACAAUUGGCAGCAGGCGUAUUGAUUUCGGAGCGCAGUACAUCUCGCGCUUUGCACUCAUAACGACGACGAUCCAAAAGUACAUUUUUACACUCUUGACCUCGGAUCAGGUAGGGAUACCCGCUGAACUUAAGCAUAUCAAUAAGCGGAGGAA
rnacentral:rRNA from 1 species